UCAAUGACGAAAAAGGAAUUGGUCAAUGUAAAGUGUAAAAGAUGGCGGCACACAUGUCAUGGCGAAUGUUUAUUGAAUAAUAUUUUUCUAUUUUAUGAGUCGCUACAGUGGAUGAUCAAGUAUAGUCUGAACUUUAAUCAUAUGACCACAUACGGAACGAUGUUGGGUGAAUUAAGUCGAAAUGUGUGGAUAUUAAUUCAAAUUCAAAGGUGAUAGUUGAGUGGUUCUGUAAUCAACCAUUAUCUCAAAUCGGUCCGUUGUAUGAACCAGGCGGCGCCCCAACCCGAGCCCACUGUAGAUAAUGAAGCCAACGUUCCCGAACAGAAACCCGCGGAACCUGGAGCAGAUGGCUUUAGCGUUGAAGGACAGGGACUGGAGAACAACUUGGCCCUCUCAAAAGUUCUACCAUAGGUUCAGUCAUUUCAGACAGCGAUGAAAGAGGGAGGAGUUACUCAGUGAACCACAACAAAAAGUCAUCAGGAUCUGACUUUAGGGGCCAAAAGUUUCCAUUAAACUAGUAUUAUGUAAAUACCAAAAUAACUAAAGGUUCUAAGUCAAGCCAACAAAAUAUCCCUUUUUUUUCCUGUUUGUUGUAUCGUGUUGACAAGUACACAGAAAACAUUGUAUAAUUCAAUUUAAAAAAAAGGCAGACAACUGAACAUGACAUUGGUUACUCUGAAACAUUUAUUCACUCAUACAGUAUAGCUGUAAACAAAUGUGCUGAAAACAGUGGGGGAGAUAACACUUAUCCAGAACAAUGACAGAUACAGGUCAUUGAUGGAUUUGAUUGCAGUACAGCAGAGGUCGGCUCAGGCAGUGUCAAUGGGAUGAUGUGGUGGAAACUUGUUUCAAUUAUGAAUAUAAAAACAACAGCCAGCUGAAGACUUAAAAAAAAAAAAAUGGAUCAAUGAAGAACCAUUCAGUUUAACUGAGGAAAGUUCAGAAACUUUCACCAUAAUGCCAAAACUACCUCAAAAGUCCAAAAGACACAAAAAACGUAACCUGAACAAAAUCAUGCUAACAUGCACACUGGUCAUGAAGACAAACCGUUAAAACAAUAUGAAAAAAAGCCACCAGCUCGGAGAAAAAGCAAUAUACCGUAGAUAUUAUAAAUACUUUAAAUCAGGGUCUGUGUAUUCGGGAAAUAACUUGGUUAUUUGGGUCCCACGUCCAAGGCACUCCUACAGCAAGGCUAUUUGUGGAACGACAGUGAAAUAUUUAAAAAAA